rnacentral:lncRNA from 1 species
CUGCACUUGUCAUAGAAUGCGUGUCACGCCUCAAUAUAGUAUUACAAUGUGAAAUUUUCAGGUUUCAACCCCUCAGGACAUCAUUUACAUCAAUUACUCACCUCAAGACAGCUAAAAGUCUAGCUCGCUAUGCCCUUACCUCUCGAAUUGGCCUCCUCCUGUGACGAAUCUGCCCAAAAUCACAACAAAUAUAUCGCAUUAUGCUAAAGGUACAAUAACCAAUCGAAAGCAAUCGAAAAAUAUCAAAAUUAACGAAUAUGACAGAACCCGAGCCCGGGGCUCACAUCUCGAAACUCAAAAUUUUUUAUAUUAAUAUGUUCUUCGUCCUCUCACGAGUCCGUACAUAUAAAGAACACAAAAUUCGGAGCUCGUUUGACCCUUUAAAUUGACCCUAGAAAAUCUCAAAAUCACAAGCGCUAAAACCCCAUUUUUCUUACUGAUUUUCAUGUUCUAAUUCACAUAUAAUCUUGUAUUUAACUUGGAAAUAAGUAGAAACAACUCACCUUUGAUGCUUGAUGAAAUCCCCGUUGAAAUUAUCUCAGA